UGGAAGUCUGUAUCCUUAGAGACCUGAGGAG
rnacentral:piRNA from 1 species